GGCUUGUCUGGUAGUGAGUUAUUUCAGUUGACUGUUCACAGGCAGGUACAGAUGAAACUCCUUGUUCUACUCUUCCCCUGCUUCCCACUACUGCUCCUGAGUAGUCUUAA
ensembl:Y_RNA Y_RNA Y RNA